rnacentral:rRNA from 1 species
CCUACGGGUGGCAGCAGUGGGGAAUAUUGGACAAUGGGGGGAACCCUGAUCCAGCCAUGCCGCGUGUGUGAAGAAGGCCCUCGGGUUGUAAAGCACUUUCAGUGAGGAAGAACGCCUGGUGGUUAAUACCCAUCAGGAAAGACAUCACUCACAGAAGAAGCACCGGCUAACUCCGUGCCAGCAGCCGCGGUAAUACGGAGGGUGCGAGCGUUAAUCGGAAUUACUGGGCGUAAAGCGCGCGUAGGUGGCUUGAUAAGCCGGUUGUGAAAGCCCCGGGCUCAACCUGGGAACGGCAUCCGGAACUGUCAAGCUAGAGUGCAGGAGAGGAAGGUAGAAUUCCCGGUGUAGCGGUGAAAUGCGUAGAGAUCGGGAGGAAUACCAGUGGCGAAGGCGGCCUUCUGGACUGACACUGACACUGAGGUGCGAACGCGUGGGUAGCAAACAGGAUUAGAUACCCCUGUAGUC